CGGAUGUAGUUUAAUGGUAGAACUUUAGCCUUCCAAGCUAACCACGGGAGUUCGAUUCUCCUCAUCCG
rnacentral:tRNA from 2 species